rnacentral:rRNA from 1 species
GAGCACUGUUUCGGCAAGGGGGUCAUCCCGACUUACCAACCCGAUGCAAACUGCGAAUACCGGAGAAUGUUAUCACGGGAGACACACGGCGGGUGCUAACGUCCGUCGUGAAGAGGGAAACAACCCAGACCGCCAGCUAAGGUCCCAAAGUCAUGGUUAAGUGGGAAACGAUGUGGGAAGGCCCAGACAGCCAGGAUGUUGGCUUAGAAGCAGCCAUCAUUUAAAGAAAGCGUAAUAGCUCACUGGUCGAGUCGGCCUGCGCGGAAGAUGUAACGGGGCUAAACCAUGCACCGAAGCUGCGGCAGCGACGCUGAUGCGUUGUUGGGUAGGGGAGCGUUCUGUAAGCCUGUGAAGGUGUGCUGUGAGGCAUGCUGGAGGUAUCAGAAGUGCGAAUGCUGACAUAAGUAACGAUAAAGCGGGUGAAAAGCCCGCUCGCCGGAAGACCAAGGGUUCCUGUCCAACGUUAAUCGGGGCAGGGUGAGUCGACCCCUAAGGCGAGGCCGAAAGGCGUAGUCGAUGGGAAACAGGUUAAUAUUCCUGUACUUGGUGUUACUGCGAAGGGGGGACGGAGAAGGCUAUGUUGGCCGGGCGACGGUUGUCCCGGUUUAAGCGUGUAGGCUGGUUUUCCAGGCAAAUCCGGAAAACUAAGGCUGAGGCGUGAUGACGAGGCACUACGGUGCUGAAGCAACAAAUGCCCUGCUUCCAGGAAAAGCCUCUAAGCAUCAGGUAACAUCAAAUCGUACCCCAAACCGACACAGGUGGUCAGGUAGAGAAUACCAAGGCGCUUGAGAGAACUCGGGUGAAGGAACUAGGCAAAAUGGUGCCGUAACUUCGGGAGAAGGCACGCUGAUAUGUAGGUGAAGUCCCUCGCGGAUGGAGCUGAAAUCAGUCGAAGAUACCAGCUGGCUGCAACUGUUUAUUAAAAACACAGCACUGUGCAAACACGAAAGUGGACGUAUACGGUGUGACGCCUGCCCGGUGCCGGAAGGUUAAUUGAUGGGGUCAGCGCAAGCGAAGCUCUUGAUCGAAGCCCCGGUAAACGGCGGCCGUAACUAUAACGGUCCUAAGGUAGCGAAAUUCCUUGUCGGGUAAGUUCCGACCUGCACGAAUGGCGUAAUGAUGGCCAGGCUGUCUCCACCCGAGACUCAGUGAAAUUGAACUCGCUGUGAAGAUGCAGUGUACCCGCGGCAAGACGGAAAGACCCCGUGAACCUUUACUAUAGCUUGACACUGAACAUUGAGCCUUGAUGUGUAGGAUAGGUGGGAGGCUUUGAAGUGUGGACGCCAGUCUGCAUGGAGCCGACCUUGAAAUACCACCCUUUAAUGUUUGAUGUUCUAACGUUGACCCGUAAUCCGGGUUGCGGACAGUGUCUGGUGGGUAGUUUGACUGGGGCGGUCUCCUCCUAAAGAGUAACGGAGGAGCACGAAGGUUGGCUAAUCCUGGUCGGACAUCAGGAGGUUAGUGCAAUGGCAUAAGCCAGCUUGACUGCGAGCGUGACGGCGCGAGCAGGUGCGAAAGCAGGUCAUAGUGAUCC